rnacentral:rRNA from 1 species
AACGUAGGAGGCAAGCGUUAUCCGGAGUUACUGGGCGUAAAGCGUGCGUAGGCGGAUGGGUAAGUGGGUGGUGAAAGCGCUCGGCUAAACCGGGCGAGUGACAUUCAGACUGCUCGUCUAGAGGCGGAUAGAGGGGUGCGGAAUUCCGGGUGUAGCGGUGAAAUGUGUAGAGAUCCGGAGGAACACCAGUGGUGCAAACGGCGCCCUGGGUCCGAACUGACGCUGAUGCACGAAAGCGUGGGGAGCGAACGGG